rnacentral:sRNA from 1 species
GGUCCAGGACUGGCUCUGCGGGCGCCGCCAGGCCCAGACCAAGCUACCAUCAGAAGUUGAAUUCUAAUAAUUAGCUAUUUUAUAAAGGUAACGAGAAAAAAUACACCAUGUCUGAUGAAGUUUUUAGCACCACUUUGGCAUAUACAAAGAGUCCAAAAGUUACCAAAAGAACUACUUUCCAGGAUGAGCUAAUAAGAGCAAUUACAGCUCGCUCAGCCAGACAAAGGAGUUCUGAAUACUCAGAUGACUUUGACAGUGAUGAGAUUGUUUCCUUAGGUGAUUUUUCUGACACUUCAGCAGAUGAAAAUUCAGUUAAUAAAAAAAUGAAUGACUUUCAUAUAUCAGAUGAUGAAGAAAAGAAUCCUUCAAAACUAUCGUUUUUGAAAACCAAGAAAUCAAACGGUAACAUAACCAAAGAUGAGCCAGUGUGUGCCAUCAAAAAUGAAGAGGAAAUGGCACCUGAUGGGUGUGAAGACAUUGUUGUAAAAUCUUUCUCUGAAUCUCAAAAUAAGGAUGAGGAAUUUGAAAAAGACAAAAUAAAAAUGAAACCUAAACCCAGAAUUCUUUCAAUUAAAAGCACAUCUUCAGGUAAUUUGUUAGGAUUACUGUAAUUGCAUUUCCUGGAGGUUUAUUUUAAGAUAAUCAGUCCCAAAAUUUUUAUAUGGUAGCUAGUAUAUAUUUAAGAAAAAAAGACAGACUUCC